rnacentral:rRNA from 1 species
AUGCUGGUACCAAGCUUGAUGAUGUAUUGGUGUGCUACACUUGAUGAUGUAUUGGUUGUUGAUGAGAACAUGACUACCUUGGAUACGACCAAAAAUAUUGCAUACAUGCAUAUUUGUCAGGUGAUUUGUAGUGCAAACUAUUCAAUAAUCUAUUUAUGUUAUCCAGAACAAAAAUACUUCACACACUUUUAUGUUUUGCCUAAUUGCAGGUGUAUGGGACAUUUGUACAAUCCACAUAUGAAGAUAAGGCAAGAGGAGAAGUUUAGGUUCUGUUCAAAAAUUCCUCUCACGUCAUUUUUGGGCCAAGAGAAGAUAGAGUCCAAGUUUCUCACGUUCUGGAUUCAGAUUCGGACUGCACACACAUACCUGACUCAAAACGCCAACAAUUUUUUCAUACGGACUCCGAAUUGGGUGAUUCUUUUUUUGUUGGAAAGUAGAUUUCGUCCUCUUUCCAACCCAAUUGGAUUCACCUUUAAAUUCGUCCGGAGUGUUGAGAUAUGGACGAAACAAUCUGACGUUGCAGCAGAAUUCGAGUCAAACAACAAGUCCAAAGGUGUUGCAUCACCUCCACUUGGGCCCAUGAGCCUUUUACGACCUAGGGUUGGUUUUAAUCUGCCUUGGGACGUCUUUCCACCUCCUUGGCCACCACCCCUUGCUCCUAUAUAA